rnacentral:rRNA from 1 species
GUCCCGCAACGAGCGCAACCCCUACUGUUAGUUGCCAUCAUUCAGUUGGGCACUCUAGCGAGACUGCCGGUAAUAAACCGGGAGGAAGGUGGGGAUGACGUCAAAUCAUCAUGCCCCUUAUGACCUGGGCUACACACGUGCUACAAUGGUUGGUACAACGAGUUGCGAGUCGGUGACGGCGAGCUAAAUCUCUUAAAGCCAAUCUCAGUUCGGAUUGUAGGCUGCAACUCGCCUACAUGAAGUCGGAAUCGCUAGUAAUCGCGGAUCAGCACGCCGCGGUGAAUACGUUCCCGGGCCUU